UACAGAGGAGCCAAGCGUUGUCCGGAUUGACUGGGCGUAAAGCGCACGCAGGCGGUUGCGCGCGUGGGGGGUGAAAUCUGGCCGCUUAACGGCCAGGCGCCAUCCCAUACGGCGCGACUGGAGCGAUGCAGAGGUCGGUGGAAUUGCCGGUGUAGUGGUGAAAUGCGUAGAUAUCGGGAGGAACACCUGUGGCGAAAGCGGCGCACUGGACCACAACUGACGCUGAGGCGCGAAAGCUAGGGGAGCAAACAGG
rnacentral:rRNA from 1 species